GCCGGAGUUUACGGAUCCAGGAGCACAACCCAGGUCCUGGAGCCCCCACCACCAGAGGAAACGAGAGGGGGCAUCCGCGGGCAGAGACUGGCCUUCACAUUUACUUUCAUAAUAAUCUGGAAGAGCAAACUUAAGUUUAGAAUUCUUGGACUCCCCAAGAUGUGCACUGGAAUGGGGCAGCUAAAGCGAGGCAGCUGGCCAGGGUUUUGAGCGAAUAUCCGGGUACUGCGGCCUUGCCAAGUGGACACGUGAAAUGAGCCAUCACGCUUCCUAAUAUGGAUUUUUGGAUUCCUAAGGUAAACCACAAUCAAAUGAGAAUGAACUGCUCAAGAUUUUUUGCUUGUUUACAAUAAAAAUUUUAAAAGAAACACAGAAGGCUUAACACACAUAAUGACGUCUGCAGCCUGGAGCCCAGGUGGAGAAGGUGGACUCUACACCCUGAUCUAGUUCCAAACUCAGCAGCUACCGCAGGGACGGGGUCUCCAAAUGGAAGUCUAACUUGGCAAAAAAGCCACGGAACAACCAGCUCCUGAUUUGGCCUGAUCACAGAUUCGUCUUGAAUAAGGCAGAGGAAGCGAAGGGGGGAACUUGCACCCUGUUGCCAUUAGGAAGAAAUGAGAAGACUCCUGGGAGGAAGAGACCACAACACCCAGGAGUCGGAGCGAAUGAGAGGGAAGAACGGGACGGCUAAGACAGACCCCUGGCCGGGGUUGAAAACGUGUGACACGGUGGCUGCUACAUUCUUUCUCUUUGAGGUUUUUUUUUUAAGAUUUUAUUUAUUUAUCUUUAGGGGGUAAGGGUUGGAGAGAGGGAGAGAAAUAUCAAUGUAUGGUUGUCUCUCACUAGUCCCCUGAAGGGAACUGGCCUGCAACCCAGGCAUGUGCCUUGACUGGGAAUUAAACCUCAAUCCCUUGGUUCACAGGCCUGAGCUCAAUCCACUGAGCUACACCAGCCAGGGUUGAGGGUAUUGUUUGGAGGAUAUGAAACAUCCAUUCUUCGAUUCCCUAACUUCUGCUGCAUGGACAGAUAUGCCAACCAAAAGGACUCCGUGGUCAAAAGAAGGCUCCCUCUGAAAGUUUUGUGAUGGGCCACCAGUAAAUGAACAUGUUUAACUCAGACUCCCCUGUACCAUAUUUCUUUGAUCAAAGAGUCAUCCUGUGUGCACGCAUAAGAGAUAUUCUAACCUCCCAAGGAGCUGGUGCUCCUCUUUUAUGAAGAAUGUCACAGGCAACAGCCUAACACGACACUUCUCAAGCUGGAGCUGCAGGAGAACCAUGUUCUGGGACACACGGAUGUGUCCCCACAAAAGAUUUCACACCUCCCAUGAAUUUGUUCAUUUGUUCAAAGUUGCACGGCUUCCCUUUUUCUGUUAUCUCAGCCUUUAGCAUUAAAUCUAUUCUGUGAGCAACUCCUUCCUCAAUAACAGAAUUUAGAAAGCACUGUCCUAAGGAACUCAUUUUUGCCCUUACCGUAGAAAUACCGGCUUCAGGACAUCACCCGUUACACCUCCCAGCGUCCACUCAGUGAGCCCCCUCGGCCAGCCCCCCUCUGCUCUGGUCAGUAUGGGCGGAAGCUCUGCUCCUCCUCAGGAACAGGAGCCGCUGCCUUCUCAGGCAGGAGAGCUAAUGCGGUUUCCUUCCUGCUCUGGCCGUCAGAAAGCACAAGCCCAACGUGGAGCUGCAACUACGGCAACCAAUGGGUUUUGGAGCCUGUGGAUCUGCCCCCGUGUUUCCUUCUGGUUUUUAGAGUCUGGUCUAUUCCACAUUCCCCCUGCUCCUGAAGGUGUCUGUAGGUAAAUUAAUGUGUGCUAUAUAAAAACUAAUUCAAUUACAUUAAAAAGUCAGUGUAACGAUCAUUUCAUUCUCCUUUUUUCCCCACAGGAAAUUGGUACAUAUAGACAUACAUAAAUAUUCAUUUAAUCCUCUUCAUACUUUUCUCAGUAGGUACUAUGACUAUCACCCUCACUUUGCAGAUAGGGAAAUGAGGUGCCAAGGAGUUGGAUAACUAGUCCAAGAUCACUCUCCAAGUACGUGGCAGAACAGGGCUUUACAUUCAGCCUGCACUGGCCUCUUCUCAAUUCAGUUCCUUAAACUUGGCUUCCUCUCAACUUUUUAUUGCUCGAGUUCUCCACACCUACAAAAUACUGUUAAUAUUUAUCUACUGAGUUCAAAAGAAUGCAAUUUCCAAAACUGAGGGGCAGAAAUGCAGCAAAUGAAAGCUAUCUGACUUUACUAUUACAGACUUAAGAGCAAUUCUAUUUCCUUUUCUUUUUAGACUCUAACUAUGUUUCGAUUUCAGAAGAGAUGAUCAAAAUAAAAACAGCUCAGUUAUAUACACCGACCAG